rnacentral:lncRNA from 1 species
GCGGGGGUCCUGGCUGGCCCCCGUCCGGGGCUCGUCCCCGCGGAUGCCCGCUGUGCUCCGGUGAUGCCGGCACGCUGCUGGACGAGCCCGCGGCCGGCCGCGCCGGGGGUCCGGGCGCCGCUCUCACGGGUUUCCCUCCCGCUCUGCAGAUGCCCAGAAAGCCCAGGCGAGGCACAAGCAAGCGAAGGAGCGGCGCGAGGAGCGAGCCAAGUACCUGGCUGCCAAGCGGGUGCUGUGGCUGGAGAAGGAGGAGAAGGCCAAGGUGCUGCGGGAGAAGCAGCUGGAGGACCGCCGCAAGCGCCUGGAGGAGCAGCGGCUGAAGGCGGAGAAGCGCCGCGCCGUCCUCGAGGAGCGGCAGAGGCAGAAGCUGGAGAAGAACAAGGAGCGCUACGAGGCAGCGAUCCAGAGGUCGGCCAAGAAGACGUGGGCAGAGAUCCGGCAGCAGCGGUGGUCGUGGGCAGGGGCCCUGCACCACGGCUCCCCCGCGCACAAGGACGGUGCGAGCCGGUGCUCGGUGUCGGCCGUAAACCUCCCCAAACACGUGGACUCUAUAAUCAACAAGCGGCUCUCCAAAUCCUCCGCCACCCUCUGGAACUCUCCCAGUAGAAGUAAGAGACCUUUGCGUGUGCCCGCAGCGCGGGGGGCUGGCGGCCCCGGCCCCCGCCAGCGCUAGGGACCCCCAGAGCCAGGGAGCCCCCCAAGCCCCCCCGGCCCUGCCUUGCAGCACGGUGCCCGCGGAGAGAGGAGAAGCCGUUCGCCC